rnacentral:misc_RNA from 1 species
UUAAGUUCAGCGGGUAUCCCUACCUGAUCCGAGGUCAAAGACGGUAAAUGUGCUUGUUGGACGCGAACCGGAGCCCCUCAAGAAGCGCAAUGUGCUGCGCGAGAGGAGGCAAGGACCGCUGCCAAUGAAUUUGGGGCGAGUCCACGCGCGGAGGCGGGACAGACGCCCAACACCAAGCAGAGCUUGAGGGUGUAGAUGAC